AAUACUGAAAUUCUCCACAAAACCAUUGAGGAAAGAGCCUUGCCUUUCUUUUCUAUCCAUAAAUAAGGAGUUACAGCGCAGGUCUAGUUCAAAGAAAAUAAGGUUUAUCAAUCUCAUGCAAGCUUCAGGUGACCUGUUAUAAGUAUUUAAAUGUAAUAAAUAUAAGUAAAAGCACAAUGUAAAUAAUCAUUUAUGCCACAUGUACAGCAUAUAUAUCACUAUAUAUUUAAUUGUAUGUUGUAACCAAUGUUUUCAUAACAUUUUGAUAUGUUUGCAUUUCAAACGAGAUAUUGCUGAAAAACACUAUACUAUACUAAACUAUGCUAUAUAAGACUAAAGAUGACAUACCUUUUGAGUUGUUAGUUUUUAAAACCAAUUCCAUAGCCACCCAUUGUAUUUAUAUCUCUUUCAUGAGAUACGGGUCAAACCUCGAUCAGUUAUUAUGAGUUGUAUAUAUCCCAUUAAAGUCUAUGGAGGAUCAUUAAGUCCUACUGUGUUUAUAACUCAAAACCACAACCUCCAAUUAUACUUUAUAAUACUCAAUCCUGCACUCCGUGAUUGAGCUUAUUAUGGUGACAUGUACAGCUGAUGAGUUCUAUACCGUAAGACCUGAAAGCUUGAUGCAGAAGUUUUGACCUACACGUAUUGUAUCUUUUACCAUAUAAUUAACCAGGAGGUAGAUGGAACCCUUUGUAAGUACAUGUUUUGGCAUUGGCAUAAUGGGGGCAAAUUAAAAAAUUCCUUUUAAAUGGCAAACAGCCAAAAAAACCACAAAUAGAUAAACCAAUGAACUGAAUAAUGAGUAGUCAUAUUAAAGUAGUCAGUCACUGUAAACCGACUGCAAUCUUAAGCCAGAGCUAAUCAAAGUAUUUUCCAUUUUCCUUUCAGAUUCAUCUUCAAAAAUACAUUGACGCUGUCAGAUCAAUUUAAACUCAAGGGCUCUAACAUGCUAACAUUGGAUUUACAAAAAGAAAAUGCCUUAUAUAUAAAUUGGCAGCUUUGUCUCAGGCAUUCAAUUAUAUCAAUGUUGAACAGGCCUCUGAAUCUGAUAUGAUUAAACAAAAGAGUCAAGGACGGGGAUGGGGAGAGGGAAAGUGGCAGAAAUCAAUAUUUGUGGUAAAUGCUUCCAAGAACUGAACUGUUAGAACCCCACUCCUGCCUCUUUAUCUUUCUUAUUCUUUUCUGUCUGUUUAGCCUUUAUUGUGGGACUGUCAGCCAGAAGAACAGCUGCUUCUCCGGAUCACAGGGUUAAAGCAGUCAGAAAGCCCGGGACCUCAGAGACAGAGACUUGUCAAAGCAAUAAGCCUCACACACCCGGAUCUAAACUACAAGCACCAGCCUUGGUGUCCAUCAAAGAGCGAGGGACAUUCUCUCAGGCUAGCAGGAGGCACUGCACAGCAAGUCUGAGGGAGGACAGAAAGAUUUCCUCCCUGGCAACCAUCGGAAGACAUGACACAAAACGGGUUACCAGGAACAUCCUUGCCCGCAUGUUCAAUGAUGAUGUUGGGAAGAGAAUUAACUGGAAAGGGAUAAAUGGGAAAAAGUCCUUCAGCCAGAUGGAGUGGAAGACUUUGCUCCUGCAUGCCGUCAGAAAGAAUCAUGUCUCAGGUCCCGCCACAGAUGAUGAGAUUCUGAAACACGCAAUUAGGUUGUUCAACCUGGCAGCAGACAGACGAAGUUCCAGGAGGCGUGCCACAGUCAGCAUCCCUACUGAACAGGCCAACAUGUGUUAUACAUGCGAUACAUGCGAUGUUCUAAAAUCCUUGUGAAUGGAUUUCAUUUAAUAAAAAAACGUUUUGAUACUAUUCAUGGUUAACGUUCUUUUUUUCCAUUAAUACCUAUUCAAUAUAUAGGCUGUAAUGACCUCUUUUUUUAAGAUUAUUUUUUGGCUUUUUGGCUUUUAUUAGAUAGUUGGGAUUAGAACCCAGGGAGCUGCUGAAAGGAUUGUUUUUUUAAUAGAGGAUUUUGUUGUUACUUGCAGAGUCCAUUGUUAAAUGCACAAGGGAUUUUACACAAACUAUGCAUAUGUUCUCCAAUGUAGAUUUUAAGUCUUGAAUAAAUUCAACAUUUUAUUAUUAGAGUAUUCACACUUUUAUAGAGCAAUCUAGAUGUUGGUCAUUUUGAUUUGAGAUAUUUCUGUAGUUAGUUUUGAGUAAGGGAUCCGCUUUAUGAACGGGUCCAAAUCGGACCCCGGCCAAAUGAGUCGUUUUAUGAAUGGGUCCAUAUCGGAUAUGAACGGAUACGGGCCAGAUCUGGUCUGGAUCUUUGACGCGUAUCCAUUCCAGAUCUGUCCCGCUGUGCAAGUCGACUCCGAUCCGGACCCAUUUUGCAGAUCUAUUCCGGAGCCUAUGAUACCUCCAGGGCGGAUCCAAAGCGGAGUCGGUUUGCUAUCUGGGCCAGCUCUCAGCAAGUGACUCUGCUUCUGUGUGGAGAGGUCUCAGACAGAUAACAAACUACAUUCCUAAAGCCCCCCACUCCAUGAACGACCUAUGCCUGGCAGACAAGCUAAACGAGUUCUACUGUCACUUUGAAAGACAAUGGGACAGUCCUGACCCCAUCCCUCCAUCAACCAAACCCAGACCACCAAGUCCCCCUCCCCCAGCUCAGCAGGGGCCCAUGCCUCUGUAGCACCCA